UACGAAGGGGGCUAGCGUUGUUCGGAAUUACUGGGCGUAAAGCGCACGUAGGCGGAUACUUAAGUCAGGGGUGAAAUCCCGGGGCUCAACCCCGGAACUGCCUUUGAUACUGGGUAUCUCGAGUCCGGAAGAGGUGAGUGGAAUUCCGAGUGUAGAGGUGAAAUUCGUAGAUAUUCGGAGGAACACCAGUGGCGAAGGCGGCUCUCUGGGACGGUACCGACGCUGAGACGCGAAAGC
rnacentral:rRNA from 1 species